UAAGGAUGGAUUGUCAAACCAGGAUUUUCAUCCUGAAAUCCAGACCUCCUUGCUUUCAUAGAUUUCUUUAAGAGACUCUUAAAGUCUUCAGUUGUAAUAAUGUAAGCUUUGGUAGCAAUUGAGUUAACGAUUCUAAGUACUGCAGUAUGUUGUUCUUUGUUUCUUAAAGCCAGUGUGAACUGAUGGUUUUUAGUUUCUCUGAAAUGCACACGUCUUCAGGUGGGGAAGGGCAUGCUGUGGGUAGUCAAAUGCCUUCAGUCUGCUAGUUAAUAUUUGGAAGGUAACUGAUGUCAGUUUUAAAACUGCCUAGUUCUAGAAGUUUACGGUUGCUCUGCAUGCUUACUGUAUCCUGGAGCUGUGGAAAUCACUCCAAACGGUGCUGUUCUGUAAGACCAGAGAGCUGGGCUGUGGUGACCAACUGUUACAAAUGAAAUUGUUGUCUGCUAUCACAAGGAACAUAUAUGGCGUUCUUCAGCUGUGUCUCAAUGAGUCUGCUUAAGAUAUGCUGCUCCUCCUAGAUUCCAGG